GACGAACGCUGGCGGCGUGCUUAACACAUGCAAGUCAAACGGAAAGGCCCUGCUUUUGUGGGGUUCUCGAGUGGCGAACGGGUGAGUAACACGUGAGUAACCUGCCCUUGACUGUGGGAUAAUUUCAGGAAACUGGGGCUAAUACCGGAUAGGAGCUCCUGCUGCAUGGUGUGGGUUGGAAAGUUUCGGCGGUGGGGGAUGGACUCGCGGCUUAUCAGCUUGUUGGUGGGGUAGUGGCUUACCAAGGCUUUGACGGGUAGCCGGCCUGAGAGGGUGACCGGCCACAUUGGGACUGAGAUACGGCCCAGACUCCUACGGGAGGCAGCAGUGGGGAAUAUUGCACAAUGGGCGGAAGCCUGAUGCAGCAACGCCGCGUGCGGGAUGACGGCCUUCGGGUUGUAAACCGCUUUCGCCUGUGACGAAGCGUGAGUGACGGUAAUGGGUAAAGAAGCACCGGCUAACUACGUG
rnacentral:rRNA from 1 species